rnacentral:lncRNA from 1 species
GGGGCGGCGAGGGGCAGCGGGAGGCCAUUUUGGGGGCGUAGUGGCCGCCCGUGACCGCCCCCGCCCGGGCCCCGGCUCCCGCCCCGCGAGCCGCCCGCCGGAGCAUCUUCUCGCCUGAGCAGAAAACAUCUCUCCGGUCCCCCGACGUCAGAGCCUCCUCCACCUCGGGUCGUCUCCUUUUCCCCAGCCUGAGCCAGAACCCCAAUCUAGGAUUCUCUGUCCCCUGGCCUCCACUGCAUGGCUUGAUGAGUGGUGAGCAGGUCUGCACCUGGGAUCCCAACCCAGGAACCACAGGCCACUGAAGAGGAGCUCACGAACUUCACCACCAUCCACCAGGCCAGCCCCACCGCAGUUCUUUCCUCACUUCUUUCCUGAGUUCCCCCAGACUAUCACCACUACCACUAACAACUCUACUGAAAUCAUUUUCUCAAAGAUCACAUGUUAAUCUGUGACCAGUUCCUAAAUGAAGCAGCAGGGAAGGAUACCCAGGAAGAGAAAUUAAAGGUCACCUCAUUUUCUGCACUCUUAAUAUGACCCCCUUGACGCAGUCUGAGGCCACAGAUCACGAUGACAAGAGGAAAUUAUCAGUAAGAAAAGACGGCUCUUAACCCAAGCCCACUCCAGGGUUCAGAAGACCUCGGGCCCGGCCCUCAAUGCCCCGGCCGCCAGCGCCCUCUCCCGGGCGGCGGGCACACAGCAGAGGCGCGCAGGCCGACGCUGCCUUUUCCCGGACUUCAGGACUUUCUCCUCCCGCCGCUCGGCUUCCUUUACUCCCGCCGCGUCCCGCCCGCAGCCGGCGCCUCCGCCCCCGCGCGCCGCCCUGCCCCGGGCGUUCGCGGCUUCCGAGGCCCGGC